rnacentral:lncRNA from 1 species
GUGGGUCAGCCACGUCGCCGCGCCCGGGCUUCCCCGCGGGCCCGCCGGUCCGGAAGGUCGGCCCGGGGCUCUUUUCUCCGCUGUUCUCCUUCUCUGGCGCCCCCAGGACACGCGGCCAGUGGACGCCCGGAACGGCCGACCGGGAGUCGCGGCUGGGGAUGGAAGCUGGAAUUGGGGGUGCGGGAUGGAGCGGAGAGAGGAGGCCCCGCGCGCCGUCGGCCGCCUCAUUUCAGACUCCCCUGCGACCCCCCCCCCGCCGCCAGCCGAAGCCCGGGCCGCCCAGCCCCUCCUGCCGCUGCGGGACGCCGAAGGUAGCGCUCACAUCCGCGCCUUCCGGGCCUGGCGCCCACGUGCGGAGUCCCCGGGUUAGGAAAGGCCGCGCAUCCGGAGGCCACGCAGAGCCUCGGGGCUUGCGCAGAGGGGCUGCGGUUGGGUUUCAGCCGAGCAAGUCUGAGGCCCCUUUCCCGCGCCCUCUGGUGGAAAGUGUUCGCUUUUCUGUCCACCCAUGUGAAGGAUUCACCCCGACCCUCCUCAGGUGGCCUUUACUUUGCAGGAGCAAAGCAAGUUGGAUGAGGAGAUACAUGUAUGUGGCACACAGCUUUCUUCACUUAGCAACACGUCAGAUGCAGCGUAGAUGUGCGGAUGAAACCACCAUUGCAAAAUUAUCACUGAGACAGUCAGAGAAACCUGACAUGGCUGACUCCAUGUUGCUUUUAGCCUCACAGGCUGGCUCUCUUAGCUCAUUCCUAAGCAUGGGCCUGAAACUGCCAUUGCAAAAUCGUAACUGAGACAGCAAAAGAGACUUGACCUAACCAACUCCAUCUUGCUUCUAACCUCCAAGCUGUCCUUGUUCAUUCCUGGGUGUAGGCUGAACUAACUUUGGGAGGAACUUAAUUUAUAGUUUAAAACAAAGACGAUAAGACGAUAACAGCCCUUUCUCAAAACAAACAUCCUUCCUGACUGGGGACUAGACUGCCUUUGUAGGAUUAACAAAUUAGCCACAAGAUCAGAAAUUAUAGUUUAGGAGUCAUGCAGCUGGAGGCUCUAAGAUUGUGACCCUCCCUAAACCGCUCAGUGCUUGAGAUGUUUUACAGACCCUGCACUUAAUGGAUCAGCUGGCACCACCCAGAUGGAUAAACUGGCUCAUGUGAUCUUGUGGCCCCCACCCAGGAACUGACUCAGUGCAAGAAGACAACUUCAAUUCCCUAUGAUUUAAUGUCCUACCGAAUCAAUCAGCACUCCUGACACACUGGCUUCCCCUCACCCACCAAAUUGUCCUUAAAACCUCUGAUCUCCAAAUGCUUGAGGAGACUGAUUUGAGUAAUAAUAAAACAAGGCUCCUGCACAGCCGGCUCUGCGCGAAUUACUCUUUCUCUACUGCAGUUCUCCUGUCAUGAUAAAUCGGCUCCAUCUAGGCAGCCAGCAAGGUGAACCCACUGGGUGGUUACAGGCCACGCUAAGUUCGGGAGAAAUUUAGUUUAUGGUUUAAAUGAUAACAGCCCUUCCCCAAAACUAAACUGCCCUGGUAAAACUAAUGAAAGGCCGCCAAGUUAGGAGGAUGACAGGGGCCUGAAUUCUACUGAGCCGUAAGCGUAAUUACCGGCCAUUAUUCCAGAGGACACAAGAUUUGCAACUUGCCUAAUUACUCCUGCAAAGAACAUCGCUACUGUAGCACCUGAGAAUGGCCUUUUGAGAUGUGUUUUCAGGCUUUUGCACUUCUGACAACUGAUGGCUGCACUUGGACUCGCCAGCCGGUCCCGCGUCCCCACCAGAAGCAGAGUAAGCACAAGAGGACAGCUCCGACUCCCUAGGAUUUCAGCUCUGACCAGUCGCACGCCUGGCUCACUGGCUUCCCCACACCCACCAAGUUGUUCUUAAAAACUCUGCUGCCCGAAUGCUCAGGGAGAGUGAUUUGAGUAAUAAUGAAACUGUUGUCUCCUGCACAGUCGGCUCUGCGUGAAUUACUCUUUCUCUAUUGCAAUUCCGCUCUCUUGAGAAAUCGGCUCUGUCCAGGCAGCAGCAAGGUGAAGCCACUGGGCGGUUACACUGAUAUGAUUCCCCCUUUGCAGUUUUUACUCUCUUGGUGCUGCAAACAGUUCCUCACUGAGGACCCUUGUACACGUAUCACUGUGAGCAUGAAUCCGAAUUUCUUUAGGAGACAUACAUACUAGUGGGUAUGUGCAUGUUAUGUAAUUUCUCUUAGCACUGUUUCCUCACUCAUCAAAUAAGGAUCAAGUAGUUCUCACCACACAGGGUUAUUUUAGAAAUAAUUUAGUAUACAUAAUAUACAAUGCAAUAACAAGUACUGAUGUCUACUUCUUUUAGGUUAUAUGAUAAUACCUUAUACAUAGUACAUGUGUGAUUAUAUAUAUUGCAAUGUAGAGUACGAUCUAUAAUUUACAGAACUGUUGUUUAUAUAUAACAAAUGCUGUCCUUGCGAUAGUUUGCUCAGAAUGAUGGUUUAUGUAUACAUAUGUAACAAACCUGCACGUUGUGCACACGUACCCUAGAACUUAAAGUAUAAUUUUAAAAAAUGCUAUAAUUCAUGUGGUGAUUAUUAUCUACCAGUUACAUCAUCGAUAGAAUGAGGACGUUGUUAACGGUACACGCCAGACAGGAUGGCUGUGAGGAUCUGUGAUAAUAAGAAUUAGAUAUUUGGUCUUUGUCCCUGUUUCCUGAUGGAGGCUUCUAAACCCCUUGGAAUUCCCUGACUGAUAGGGGCAAGAGGAAAUCUUUUGUUAUUCCUAACGAGCCCCUUUCAUCCAUGCCUGUGUUUAUGCUAAUGAGGUGACUCCUGGAGGAUGAGGGCUGGUUGCCAGGGGAAUCAACUUUGCCUUGCAACUUUCAGCUCCAGUCCGUGACUUCCAGGGAAAGAACAGGGGCUGGAGAUUGAGUUUAAUCGCCAAUGACCAGUGAUUUGAUCAUUCAUGCUUAAAUAAUGGAACCAUAAGAAACCUAAAGAAAAGGUUUGGAGAGCUGCUGGGUUCAGGAGCACAUUCGUGUGCUGGGAGGGUGUUGUGCCUGGUGAAGGUGUGGAAGCGCUGACUCUGCCUCGCAUACCUUGUCCUGUCUGUGUCUUUCAUCUGGCUGUUGCUGAGUUGUGCUGUUUAUAAUAAUAAACUGGUAACAGGAAGUAAAGCA